rnacentral:rRNA from 1 species
AGAGUUUGAUCCUGGCUCAGGACGAACGCUGGCGGCGUGCCUAAUACAUGCAAGUAGAACGCUGAAGAGAGGAGCUUGCUCUUCUUGGAUGAGUUGCGAACGGGUGAGUAACGCGUAGGUAACCUGCCUUGUAGCGGGGGAUAACUAUUGGAAACGAUAGCUAAUACCGCAUAACAAUGGAUGACACAUGUCAUUUAUUUGAAAGGGGCAAUUGCUCCACUACAAGAUGGACCUGCGUUGUAUUAGCUAGUAGGUGAGGUAACGGCUCACCUAGGCGACGAUACAUAGCCGACCUGAGAGGGUGAUCGGCCACACUGGGACUGAGACACGGCCCAGACUCCUACGGGAGGCAGCAGUAGGGAAUCUUCGGCAAUGGGGGCAACCCUGACCGAGCAACGCCGCGUGAGUGAAGAAGGUUUUCGGAUCGUAAAGCUCUGUUGUAAGUCAAGAACGAGUGUGAGAGUGGAAAGUUCACACUGUGACGGUAGCUUACCAGAAAGGGACGGCUAACUACGUGCCAGCAGCCGCGGUAAUACGUAGGUCCCGAGCGUUGUCCGGAUUUAUUGGGCGUAAAGCGAGCGCAGGCGGUUUGAUAAGUCUGAAGUUAAAGGCUGUGGCUCAACCAUAGUUCGCUUUGGAAACUGUCAAACUUGAGUGCAGAAGGGGAGAGUGGAAUUCCAUGUGUAGCGGUGAAAUGCGUAGAUAUAUGGAGGAACACCGGUGGCGAAAGCGGCUCUCUGGUCUGUCACUGACGCUGAGGCUCGAAAGCGUGGGGAGCGAACAGGAUUAGAUACCCUGGUAGUCCACGCCGUAAACGAUGAGUGCUAGGUGUUGGAUCCUUUCCGGGAUUCAGUGCCGCAGCUAACGCAUUAAGCACUCCGCCUGGGGAGUACGACCGCAAGGUUGAAACUCAAAGGAAU